rnacentral:rRNA from 1 species
CAAUAGCGUAUAUUAACGUUGUUGCAGUUAAAAAGCUCGUAGUUGGAUUUCUGGAGGGAGCGUCGGCCCGUAUUUACGAGUGCGUGACGUCUCUGUCCAUCCUUGCGGGAAGGCACGGCAUUGAUUUGUUGUGUCGGAUCGCAUCAUUUACUGUGAAAAAAUUAGAGUGUUCAAAGCAGGCUUUCGCUUGAAUACAUUAGCAUGGAAUAAUAAGAUAGGACUUUGGUGCUAUCUUGUUGGUUGAGCCUAAAGUAAUGAUUAAUAGGGAUAGUUGGGGGCACCUGUAUUGCGUUGUCAGAGGUGAAAUUCUUGGAUUUACGCAAGACAAACAGCUGCGAAAGCGUCUGCCAAGGAUGUUUUCAUUAA